UAAUUUUUUGUGUGAAUGUGUUUGUGUUGGAAAUCAUAUUCAGUUAAGACGCCGGUGGAAGGGGUAAGGUAUUUCUGAACACAAUACAAAUCAUAAAAGCUCGAUGACACGUUGCCUGCAGUCACGUUGCUUCAGUUGUUUCUUGACCGGUAAUCCGUCAACAUGCUCUAUUAGUGUGCUUAUUAUUGCGUGUUUUAUUAACCAGUGUAUUAUUUCAAAAGUGUUUCUACAUUUUAAUAAGCAUAAGAAUUUUACAAAGAUUUUUUCUAAAAUAUAUAAAACUGAAUUUCUAUCGAAGAAAUUUAAAUCACAGUAAAAAACUGUUGUAAAAAUUGAUAAAGGACGAGAGACGAGAUAUUUGCCUACAUAAAAUUGAUAGCUGAAAAUAAAUUUGAUACGAUUCCGUUCGCCUUGACACACAACUAUGACAAAAUUCCGUUGCCACCUAAUAAAAACAAGCAAUAUUUUGUUCAUUAUAAGAAUGAGGAACCAAAAUUAGCUGUGCUCAUUAAUGUUGAAGAAACAAUUACGGAGUUAGAGAAGCUAAUUGCAAGCAGAAGGAUUAUAGUUCCAACUUUUCGAAAUCAGGAAACAGCUUCAGAGAUGAGUGACAUUAA